rnacentral:rRNA from 1 species
GUGCACCAGGCGCGAAACCUUCACACUGCGCGCAAGCGCGAUGAGGGGACCUCGAGUGUCGGUGCCAAGCAUCGACUGUCCCGCUGCUUAAAAAGCAGUGGUAAGCAAGGGCCGGGUAAGACCGGUGCCAGCCGCCGCGGUAACACCGGCGGCUCGAGUGGUGACCGCUAUUAUUGAGCUUAAAGGGUCCGUAGCCGGUCUAGUAACUCUCUUGGGAAAUCUGGCGGCUUAACCGUCAGGCGUCCAAGAGAAACUGCUAGACUCGGGAGCGGGGGAGGUUGGAGGUACUCCAGGGGUAGGGGUGAAAUCCUGUAAUCCUUGGGGGACCACCGGUGGCGAAGGCGUCCCACUGGAACGGCCCUGACGGUGAGGAACGAAACCUAGGGGAGCGAGCCGGAUUAGAUACCCGGGAGUCC